GACAGAGGGGGCAAGCGUUGCUCGGAAUCACUGGGCGUAAAGCGCGCGUAGGCGGACCUGCAAGUCGGGGGUGAAAGCCCGAGGCUCAACCUCGGAACUGCCUUCGAUACUGCGGGUCUCGAGUCCGGGAGAGGUGAGUGGAAUUCCUAGUGUAGAGGUGAAAUUCGUAGAUAUUAGGAAGAACACCAGUGGCGAAGGCGGCUCACUGGCCCGGUACUGACGCUGAGGCGCGAAAGCGUGGGGAGCAAACAGG
rnacentral:rRNA from 1 species